rnacentral:lncRNA from 1 species
GGCGAUUUCUGGUCUAGGGUGAGAGAUAACAGAAAGUAACAAUGGAGGCUCUCGCAGUGCUCGCAGGCACUCAAGGAACGGAAAGGAAAUUGCACAUUUCACCCGUGACUGCAUAGGCAAACGAGAACAGCAAGUCUCUGCUUUCAGCUGGAAUGUUAUCAACUUCGGUCACGCUGAUUAUCUCAGGCUGAUCAGGAAGGCUGGUACCAGGAGUGAGUGACUAAAUGAAGAAAUUACUAAUUAACAAAUGCUUGGGUGGACAAUCCUUCAAAAUUUAGGAUCAAUGGGAGGAGACAGAAGGAGUCUUGGGAGGAUUUUUAAAAUAUGCCAGAGCUGGCUGGGUACAGUGGCUCACACCUGUAACCUGAGGACUUUGAGGUGGAGACGGGCAGACCACCUGAGCUCAGGAGCUCAAGACCAGCCUGGGCAACAUGGCAAAACCCUGUCUCUACUAACACUAUAAAAAGUUAGCUGGGCGUGUUGGUGCAUGCUGUAGUCCCAGCUACUCAGGAGGCUGAGCCACGAGAAUCGCUUGAACCUGGGAGAUGGAGGUUGAAGUGAGCCAAGAUCGCACCAUUGCACUCCAGCCUGGGGAAAAAAAAAAGCCAGGCCUCCUAAUGUACUCAUUUAAACAUCACUUGUGUCCACCUGGGUUCAGAAUUGCGCUGGACAUGGGAUACACAAAGUUUCAAUUGGCCUCUUGGUGCCAAAGCACCAUGGCGUGUUACACCUAUCAGAUCGGGCACACUGCCCCUUCUUCCCAACCUACGAGCUGAAAUGGCCAGCACUGCGCCUUCCAGAACCCAGCGUAGAUGCACAGCUGCCACGGAGGUAGGAAGAAUGAUUCGUUUGCCACCAAAAGCCCAGUUUCUCCAACAGGUAAGUC